rnacentral:rRNA from 1 species
AUGAACGCUGGCGGCGUGCCUCAUACCUGCCAGUCGCGCGAACAGACGAGGAGCUUGCUCCUCUGACGUUAGCGGCGGACGGGUGAGUAACACGUGGAUAACCUACCUAUAAGACUGGGAUAACUUCGGGAAACCGGAGCUAAUACCGGAUAAUAUAUUGAACCGCAUGGUUCAAUAGUGAAAGACGGUUUUGCUGUCACUUAUAGAUGGAUCCGCGCCGCAUUAGCUAGUUGGUAAGGUAACGGCUUACCAAGGCAACGAUGCGUAGCCGACCUGAGAGGGUGAUCGGCCACACUGGAACUGAGACACGGUCCAGACUCCUACGGGAGGCAGCAGUAGGGAAUCUUCCGCAAUGGGCGAAAGCUUGACGGAGCAACGCCGCGUGAGUGAUGAAGGUCUUCGGGUCGUAAAACUCUGUUAUUAGGGAAGAACAAAUGUGUAAGUAACUAUGCACGUCUUGACGGUACCUAAUCAGAAAGCCACGGCUAACUACGUG